rnacentral:rRNA from 1 species
AACGAACGCUGGCGGCAGGCCUAACACAUGCAAGUCGAGCGAGGACUUCGGUCCUAGCGGCGGACGGGGGAGUAACGCGUGGGAACGUGCCCGUUGCUUCGGAAUAGCCCUGGGAAACUGGGAGUAAUACCGGAUGAGCCACUUUGGGGAAAGAUUCAUCUGCGAAGGAUCGGCCCGCGUUGGAUUAGGUAGUUGGUGGGGUAAUGGCCUACCAAGCCGACGAUCCAUAGCUGGUUAGAGAGGAUGGUCAGCCACACUGGGACUGAGACACGGCCCAGACUACUACGGGAGGGAGGAGUGGGGGAUCUUAGACAAUGGGGGAGACCCUGAUCGAGCCAUGCCGCGUGAGCGAUGAAGGCCUUAGGGUUGUAAAGCUCUUUCAGCUGGGAAGAUAAUGACGGUACCAGCAGAAGAAGCACCGGCUAACUCCGUG